rnacentral:snRNA from 1 species
GCAGAGUGGCCUUGCUGCCA